rnacentral:rRNA from 1 species
UACGAAGGGGGCUAGCGUUGCUCGGAAUCACUGGGCGUAAAGGGUGCGUAGGCGGGUCUUUAAGUCAGGGGUGAAAUCCUGGAGCUCAACUCCAGAACUGCCUUUGAUACUGAAGAUCUUGAGUUCGGGAGAGGUGAGUGGAACUGCGAGUGUAGAGGUGAAAUUCGUAGAUAUUCGCAAGAACACCAGUGGCGAAGGCGGCUCACUGGCCCGAUACUGACGCUGAGGCACGAAAGCGUGGGGAGCAAACAGGGAUUAAGAAACCC